CCGUGAGGGAAAGGCGAAAAGAACCCCGGCGAGGGGAGUGAAAAAGAACCUGAAACCGUGUACGUACAAGCAGUGGGAGCACAGGUUUACCUGUGUGACUGCGUACCUUUUGUAUAAUGGGUCAGCGACUUAUAUUCUGUAGCAAGGUUAACCGUAUAGGGGAGCCGUAGGGAAACCGAGUCUUAACCGGGCGUUAAGUUGCAGGGUAUAGACCCGAAACCCGGUGAUCUAGCCAUGGGCAGGUUGAAGGUUGGGUAACACUAACUGGAGGACCGAACCGACUAAUGUUGAAAAAUUAGCGGAUGACCUGUGGCUGGGGGUGAAAGGCCAAUCAAACCGGGAGAUAGCUGGUUCUCCCCGAAAGCUAUUUAGGUAGCGCCUCGUGAAUUCAUCUCCGGGGGUAGAGCACUGUUUCGGCUAGGGGGCCAUCCCGGCUUACCAACCCGAUGCAAACUGCGAAUACCGGAGAAUGUUAUCACGGGAGACACACGGCGGGUGCUAACGUCCGUCGUGAAGAGGGAAACAACCCAGACCGCCAGCUAAGGUCCCAAAGUCAUGGUUAAGUGGGAAACGAUGUGGGAAGGCCCAGACAGCCAGGAUGUUGGCUUAGAAGCAGCCAUCAUUUAAAGAAAGCGUAAUAGCUCACUGGUCGAGUCGGCCUGCGCGGAAGAUGUAACGGGGCUAAACCAUGCACCGAAGCUGCGGCAGCGAACGUAUCACCCAAGACAACUUUACGGAGUUGACGAUUGACGGAGCGAAGCGACGUCAAAGCGUUCAUUAAAGUCGAGUUGGCUUAGGGAUACGUUCGUUGGGUAGGGGAGCGUUCUGUAAGCCUGUGAAGGUGUGUCGUGAGGCAUGCUGGAGGUAUCAGAAGUGCGAAUGCUGA
rnacentral:rRNA from 1 species